ACAAGUGUGUCUGGGCACAAGACUUGACACCAUCACAGCUGGAGAGAAGACACCUCAGCAAUUGGACAGGGGCCAUGGAGAGGAAACUGGGAGCUGUGCUGGGGAUUCUGUGGGUGUGGAUUUGCUGGGUGAGAGGAGGUGAGGUGGAGCAGAGUCCUUCAGCCCUGAGUCUCCAUGAGGGAACCAGCUCUGUUCUCACAUGCAACUUUUCUAAAACCAUGAGAAAUGUGCAGUGGUUCCAGCAGAAUUCCAGUGGAAGCCUCACCAAUCUUUUCAACCUGACUCCAGGAACAAAACAGAAUGGGAGGUUAAACUCAACCUUCAACUCUAAGGAGCGCAAGAGCACCCUGCACAUCAGAGAUGCCCAGCUGGAGGACUCUGGCACCUAUUUCUGUGCAGCAGACGCACAGUGCUUCCAGCAAGCCUGCAGGCUGGCCCCAAACUGUGGCUGGGUGUGCAGCUUACAGUCCUGCCAAAGGCAGACUCUGCAGGAGAAUUUGCACAGCUGUGGCUUUAUCAGAUUUCCACCAACUACAAAGAAGGAGUGAGGAAACAGAAAAUUACCACUGCAGGAGUUCACACUUAAACUCAGACAGAUGUGACACUGACUGGUAGAAGGAUAAAAGCUCAGAAAC